UACGGAGGGUGCAAGCGUUAAUCGGAAUUACUGGGCGUAAAGCGUGCGCAGGCGGUUUGUUAAGUCCGUUGUGAAAGCCCCGAGCUCAACUUGGGAAUUGCAGUGGAUACUGGCAGGCUGGAGUACGGUAGAGGAAGGUGGAAUUCCCGGUGUAGCAGUGAAAUGCGUAGAUAUCGGGAGGAACACCAGUGGCGAAGGCG
rnacentral:rRNA from 1 species